GACGAACGCUGGCGGCGUGCUUAACACAUGCAAGUCGAGCGGUAAGGCCCUUUCGGGGGUACGACGAGCGGCGAACGGGUGAGUAACACGUGGGUGACCUGCCCUCAGCUCUGGGAUAAGCCUGGGAAACCGGGUCUAAUACCGGAUAUGACUCCAUGACGCAUGUUGUGGGGUGGAAAGCCUUGUGCGGCUGAGGAUGGGCCCGCGGCCUAUCAGCUUGUUGGUGGGGUGAUGGCCUACCAAGGCGACGACGGGUAGCCGGCCUGAGAGGGCGACCGGCCACACUGGGACUGAGACGCGGCCCAGACUCCUACGGGAGGCAGCAGUGGGGAAUCUUGCGCAAUGGGCGAAAGCCUGACGCAGCGACGCCGCGUGAGGGAUGACGGCCU
rnacentral:rRNA from 1 species